rnacentral:rRNA from 1 species
UGGGGAAUCUUGGACAAUGGGGGCAACCCUGAUCCAGCCAUGCCGCGUGAGUGAUGAAGGCCUUAGGGUCGUAAAGCUCUUUCGCCUGUGAAGAUAAUGACGGUAGCAGGUAAAGAAACCCCGGCUAACUCCGUGCCAGCAGCCGCGGUAAUACGGAGGGGGUUAGCGUUGUUCGGAAUUACUGGGCGUAAAGCGCACGUAGGCGGACCAGAAAGUUGGGGGUGAAAUCCCGGGGGCUCAACCCCGGAACUGCCUCCAAAACUAUUGGUCUAGAGUUCGAGAGAGGUGAGUGGAAUUCCAAGUGUAGAGGUGAAAUUCGUAGAUAUUUGGAGGAACACCAGUGGCGAAGGCGGCUCACUGGCUCGAUACUGACGCUGAGGUGCGAAAGUGUGGGGAGCAAACAGGAUUAGAUACCCUGGUAGUCCACACCGUAAAACGAUGAAUGCCAGUCGUCGGGUAGCAUGCU